AGCCAAUGGCCGGGAAGAGCCGAGGGGAGGAAGCGAAACCGCGCUGCCCUUUUCUCUUCUUCCAGCCCCGGAGAUCGUCUGAAAGCUGCCGUUUCGGGCCGCCUCGGAAUUCCCGCGGGAGACGAAGCUUCAAGGAUGGGGGUCACCCAGUCCCUCGGCUUGCCCCACGGGAGGGGCGCUUAUCCGGUCGGCUGCACCGACGUGAUGGUGGGCCAGACCCCCAAGGGCCUCUUCUUCCGCCUCUUCUAUCCCUGCGUCCCUCAGGGUGAGGCCGAGGAGCCAUCCUGGAUUCCCCGCUAUGAAUAUUACUCCGGAAUAGCUGACUACCUGUGCUUAAAUAGGAAAUGGUUUGCUCCACUUCUCAGUGUCACAUUUGGAUCGUGUAAGAUCCCUGUAAGCUGGGAUGCGCCUUUCCGACCCAGUUCCCACAAGUAUCCCUUGAUCAUAUUCUCCCAUGGACUAGGAGCCUUUCGAACCGUGUACUCAGCCAUCUGCAUUGAGAUGGCUUCUCGGGGCUUUUUGGUGAUGGCGCUUGAACACAGAGACCGAUCAGCUUCUGCUACGUAUUUUUGCAAACCGGAUCCGGAAGCACCAGGUCUGCCUGAGGCUCAGAUGAAUGAAGAAUGGCUCACUUACCGUAGGGUACCCAGAGAGCAGAAGGAAUUUCAUUUUCGGAACCCACAGCUCCACCAAAGAGCAAACGAGUGCAAACGGGGACUCAAGCUGAUGCAAAGUAUCAACAGUGGCAAGGCCGUUGCAAACCUCCUUCACACAGAUUUUGACCUCUCUACACUGAAGGACAAUGUGGAUCUGACCAAAGCCGCUGUCAUGGGCCACUCUUUUGGAGGCGCGACAGCCGUGCUCUCUCUGGUCAAAGAAACCCAGUUUAAAUGCGCAGUUGCCCUUGACGCAUGGAUGUUCCCUUUGGAGAACUCUGUUUACCCGAAAGUGACCAAGCCGGUGCUGUUUAUCAACACAGAAUCAUUCCAGACUGCAGAGAGCGUGGCCAAGAUGAAAAAAAUCAGCACCACCAGCAGUGACAGCAAGAUUAUUACAAUCCUGGGUACCGUCCACCAGAGUCAGACAGAUUUCACCUUCCUUGCCGGGAACCUUGUCAACCGGGUCUACAAAACAAGGGGCACCACGGAUCCCUACGAAGGUCUGAAUAUCACCAACCAGGCUGCUCUUGCUUUCCUACAAAAGCAUCUCCAACUCAAAGAAGAUUUUGACCAAUGGGAUAAUCUUCUGGAAGGCAUAGGCAACUCGGUGGUCCCAGAUAGCCCCUUGGCAAAGUCUACCCUCUAGGCAAGAAAUAUCUCUCCCCAUAUUGUUUUGGGGCAUCGUCUAGAUUUGUUUUUGUUUUUUUCCCCCUUUGAAGGGAUGCAAAGCAUCCUUGAUAUAAAAUUGCUCUUCAGAUGUUGGACAUUUUGCAGAAUUGCUCUUCAUGAUGAUGGACAUGUUCCUGAGAUCUACUAUGAAGGCUUCACUUCUUUAGGAAGCAUCUGCUGCUUAGAAACAUUUUGAGUUACCUUAUAUGUGCCUCUCCUUCUACCAGGACUACAGCAAGACCUUUAAGAAAAGGAUGGACCUAAUUACUGAAGUGUGUUUGCUGUUGGAGACCUUGUGGAAGAACUUUUGUGGAAGAUCUCCAGAACAGGAAUGGUUGCGAAUGGACCAUUGGAUGCAGAUCCUCAGCAAGAGUAGAAAGCUUGGACCGCAAGUCUCGGAUUACAUCGCAACAGUCUUCCAGUUUGGUCUUCAGCUCCUGACUCUGGUUGUAGUACUCCUCCCAUUCGUGCUGCAACUGGCAGUUCUGGCUAUGGAGCUGAGCCACCAUGCCAUCAUAUUCUUCCUGGAACAGGCAAUGUUUGGCCUGCUCCUCCUGAAGGCUGAGCUUCAAGGUCUGGAGCCGCAGCUGGUCAUUCAUGGCUGCGUUGUGUUCCACCAGGGCGGCAGCUUUGAUCACUUUCCGCAGGAAAUGCCCGUUUCGGAGAGCGUGUUGCUGCCUUUUGAAGGGCUCGUAACAACAGCUGGUUAUGCAGCAGGUGCAGAUGAUUCUGGAGGAAGUGAAUCUCGUCAGAAGGAGGAAAACCACCAAAAUGAGUCCAAUCGGCGGAUCUACUUGGCAACGAUAACGUGUUCAGUUCUUUGCUAUGAACAUCAGCCCCAUGUUGAAGAAGCCUGUCUAAGACAUCCAAAGGGGAAGCAGAAAGAAAGCCAUUGUCCUCCAGUCCUCCCUUGCUUUUUUUCAACAGCUCUUCAGUCUUCCGGCUGACAAACAGGUAGGCAGUCUUAGGUAAUACCAUCUCAGACAGGUGGUGUGCAGGAAUUUUGCAAGGGCUGGGGGUCAAAAUGCCCGGAUCCGAUGAGGUCCACAUUUCUUGGAGUCCUACAGGAAUCUCCUCGGCAUCACGACAGGACCAGUCAAUGGUUGUGAAAGGCUUGCUUCGGAGUAUCCCACGAGCCUUUGAGCGCGUAUUGGUCCAGAAAAGACGUCAAGGCCUCCGUGGUCGAAAGCUGCCCUGCGAUGUUUGAAGCAACCGACUGAGACUUCCGAGAGCCGGAGAGAUUCUCGCUGGAUUGGUAGAACGGAGGAUCAAAUCCUCCCCGAAACUCUACAGGUUUGGCCUCUGUGGCAGUGAUCGCAGAGAUUUCAUUCAAGAUGGCAUCUUCUUCUCUCGGCUGUUGUUUGUUAAAUACUUAUGAUUGCAAAACUAGAAAAUUAAUAAAAUAUUUAUUUAAAAAAA